UUGGAGGGCAAGUCUGGUGCCAGCAACCGCGGUAAUUCCAGCUCCAAUAGCGUAUAUUAAAGUUGUUGCAGUUAAAAAGCUCGUAGUUGAAUUUCGGGAUCAUCAGGUUGGUCGUGCCUCUGGUAUGUACUUUCCUCGAUGGUUCCUCCUUCUUGAAGAACCGUAAUGCCAUUAAUUUGGUGUUGCGGGGAAUCAGGACUGUUACUUUGAAGAAAUUAGAGUGUUUAAAGCAGGCAAUCGCUUGAAUACAUUAGCAUGGAAUAAUGAAAUAGGACGUUCGAUCCUAUUUUGUUGGUUUCUAGGAUUGACGUAAUGAUUAAUAGGGAUAGUUGGGGGCAUUAGUAUUCAAUUGUCAGAGGUGAAAUUCUUGGAUUUAUUGAAGACUAACUACUGCGAAAGCAUUUGCCAAGGAUGUUUUCAUUAAUCAAGAACGAAAGUUAGGGGAUCGAAGACGAUCAGAUACCGUCGUAGUCUUAACCAUAAACUAUGCCGACUAGGGAUCGGAUGAUGUUAAUUUUUUAAUGACUCAUUCGGCGCCUUACGGGAAA
rnacentral:rRNA from 1 species